CCCAGCAAAGAGCAGCACACAGCUGAAAGAAAAACUCAGAAGACAGAGCUGAAAAAGAAAACUGGUGAUGGAUCUCAUUCCAAACUUUGCCAUGGAAACAUGGGUUCUCGUGGCUACCAGCCUGGUACUCCUCUAUAUCUCUGUCUGAUCUGGAGCUUGUGGCCCAGUCAAUUAUCAUCACUUUUGCUGCCUAUGACACAACUAGCACCACUCUCCCCUUCAUUAUGUAUGAACUGGCCACUCACCCUGAUGUCCAGCAGAAACUGCAGGAGGAGAUUGACGCAGUUUUACCCAAUAAGAUCCCACUGAAAUUAGACAAUCUACCAAUUCUUCAACCAGAAAAACCUAUUGUUCUAAAAGUGCACUUAAGAGAUGGGAUUACAAGUGGACCCUGACUUUCCCUAAGAGCUUCCACUUUGUUCAAGAAAGCUGUAUCCCA
rnacentral:sRNA from 1 species